rnacentral:rRNA from 1 species
GUACGCUGGCGGCACGCCUUAUACAUGCAAGUCGAACGAAGUAGCAAUACUUAGUGGCAGACGGGUGAGUAACAUGUGGGUAUCUUCCCUUUGGCCUGGAAUAACACGAGGAAACUUGUGCUAAUACCGGAUAAGUCUUUACGGAGAAAGCUUUAUGCACCAUUGGAUGAGCCCGCACUUGAUUAGUUUGUUGGUGGGGUAAUGGCUUACCAAGACAAUGAUCAAUAGCUGAUUUGAGAGGAUGAUCAGCCACAUUGGAACUGAGACACGGUCCAAACUCCUACGGGAGGCAGCAGUAGGGAAUCUUGCACAAUGGAGGAAACUCUGAUGCAGCGAUGCCGCGUGAGUGAAGAAGGCCUUUGGGUUGUAAAGCUCUUUCGUCGGGGAAGAAAAUGACUGUACCCGAAUAAGAAGGUCCGGCUAACUUCGUGCCAGCAGCCGCGGUAAUACGAAGGGACCUAGCGUAGUUCGGAAUUACUGGGCUUAAAGAGUUCGUAGGUGGUUAAAAAAGUUGGUGGUGAAAUCCCAGAGCUUAACUCUGGAACUGCCAUCAAAACUUUUUAGCUAGAGUAUGAUAGAGGAAAGCAGAAUUUCUAGUGUAGAGGUGAAAUUCGUAGAUAUUAGAAAGAAUACCGAUUGCGAAGGCAGCUUUCUGGAUCAUUACUGACACUGAGGAACNAAAGCAUGGGUAGCGAAGAGGAUUAGAUACCCUCGUAGUCCAUGCCGUAAACGAUGUGUGUUAGACGUUGGAAAUUUAUUUUCAGUGUCACAGCGAAAGCAAUAAACACACCGCCUGGGGAGUACGACCGCAAGGUUAAAACUCAAAUGAAUUGACGGGGACCCGCACAAGUAGUGGAGCAUGUGGUUUA